CGGACGGGUGAGUAACGCGUAGGAAUCUACCUGGUAGUGGGGGGACAACAUGGGGAAACUCAUGCUAAUACCGCAUACGCCCUAUGGGGGAAAGCGGGGGACCUUCGGGCCUCGUGCUAUCAGGUGAGCCUGCGUAGGAUUAGCUAGUUGGUGAGGUAAAGGCUCACCAAGGCGACGAUCCCUAGCUGGUCUGAGAGGAUGAUCAGCCACACUGGAACUGAGACACGGUCCAG
rnacentral:rRNA from 1 species